CAGACUCACGUCUUCCUCCCCAAAGGUCCUGGGAGCCCAGCGAGGGAGCCCAGAGUGUCUACCAUUCACAGAGAGCCUUUCCAGAGCAGCAGGUCAAUUCUCUGAUAAAAUCAGAAAGCUGAUGGCCAGGCAUGGUGGUGUGUGACUGUGGUCCCAGCUACUCACAAGGCUGAGAUGGGAGGAUCGAUUAAGCCCAGGAGGUGGAGGCUGCGGGAAGCCAUGACUGAGACACUGCACUGCAGCCUGGGCAACAGAGCGAGACCCUGUCUCUAAAAAACAAAUAACAAAACCAAAACAAAAGCAAGCAAGCAGAAACUGACGACUACUCAAACACCUGGGAAAAUAAAACGUCGGAUUCGAAGCGCCUUUCUCCCAAACCGGCUCUGAGAUGUGCUGGCCUCUCCUCUCCAAGACUUGGGGAUGAGGGCUGCAAGUAGUCUGGGACCACCUUCAGGUGAGGCUGGGCUGUGGGUGCUGGCAGGAGCCUGAGGACCCCAAUGACACAGGCCACCCUUCACCGCCAGUGCGGGGGUGCACUGGCCUCCCCUGUGGGGCUGACCCUGCUCAUGAAACCACACAUUCUGAGCUAGAAUCCUGAAAACACAGAACACAGAACAGCCUCUCCUAGGGCUGCAGUGUGACUCACCACCCAUGGUGCUUUGGCCACUGUGGGCUCCUUGCGUCAGAAUAAUGUCAAUAGUAAAAGUUACUUUGGACAUAGCUAAAUCUUUUGACUUGUUUUUUUUUCCAUUAUAGGCAGAAUUCAAUAGGUUUUCAUGGGUGCUAAAAUUUUCGUUUUGUUUUCCAGUGUGAGAAAAAACUAAAAUACUUGCUUUGAAUCUACAAGGUCACACUCCCCCACAUUUUAAAAGAAACGAAAACAUUUUCAUGGGUCCCCAAAGCAUCCUGGACGCUGCUGAUGCCCUGUGCCCAGUGGGGAGUCGAGUCUGGCUUUAUCGAUGUGUAGCCGACAUGCAGGAGCUGCUCAGGACUGAGCAGUGCGCACUUUGGUAAGGCUGGACGUGAAACCAUGUCCACCAUCGGGAGAAUGAACAGACCGCCCCCUGAAGAUUCUCUGUGCCCCUCUGCAGACUCCCUUCCUAGCCCACCCGCCUCCCCACACCCCUC
rnacentral:lncRNA from 1 species